rnacentral:rRNA from 1 species
AGUGAACGCUGGCGGUAGGCCUAACACAUGCAAGUCGAACGGCAGCACAGUAAGAGCUUGCUCUUACUGGUGGCGAGUGGCGGACGGGUGAGGAAUACAUCGGAAUCUACUUUUUCGUGGGGGAUAACGUAGGGAAACUUACGCUAAUACCGCAUACUACCUACGGGUUAAAGCAGGGGAGCUUCGGACCUUGCGCGAUUGAAUGAGCCGAUGUCGGAUUAGCUAGUUGGCGUGGUAAAGGCCCACCAAGGCGACGAUCCGUAGCUGGUCUGAGAGGAUGAUCAGCCACACUGGAACUGAGACACGGUCCAGACUCCUACGGGAGGCAGCAGUGGGGAAUAUUGGACAAUGGGCGCAAGCCUGAUCCAGCCAUACCGCGUGGGUGAAGAAGGCCUUCGGGUUGUAAAGCCCUUUUGUUGGGAAAGAAAAGCAGCAGGUUAAUACCCGGAUGUUCUGACGGUACCCAAAGAAUAAGCAACGGCUAACUUCGUG